CUAACCGGAAGUGUAUGAUGUUGUGCUUCCGGCUGCAGUUUUCCACACAUUUUCUGUUCCCGUGUUUAGUUAUUUAGUAUUUUUAGCGUUAUUUUGUCACUUAUGCUGAUGUUUAUAUCCUCCCCAAAGGUUGUUGAAGCUCCAGGAGACUCGGAGCAGCAGGACGGACAUUAGGCAGCGGCAAGACGCUGCUAGCGGGAGAUCCAGCCGCUGCUAGCGGGAGAUCCAGCCGCUGCUAGCGGGAGAUCCAGCCCUGAUAGCGGGGAUCCCGCCGCUGCCCGCACUGCCCCCGGCCUCCUUCCAGGCCGGUCUCAUGCUGCACCAAUAGCGAGGCUCUGGGUCACCGAUGGCCGCCCGGCAACCCUUCGCGGACGCGGACACUGCGGAUGAAGCGGUCCGGGCCACCUGCGACGAUGCGACCACCUGUAAAAGGUUUGCCACCAGUAAAGGCUACUGGAAGGAUUCCAGCCUCCAGUACUUUGUGAGGAACGUUGGAGAGAGGAAGGCGCCCGAGAUCAACAGAGGGUACUACGCCCGGGUUCAGGGGGUCAACCUGCUGCUGGAUGCCUUCCUAAAGAAAACCCAAGGUCACUGCCAGGUGAUCAACCUGGGCGCCGGCCUGGACACAACCUUCUGGAGGCUGCAGGAGGAAAACCUGUUGCCACGGAAGUUGUUUGAAGUUGACUUUCCGACUGUUGUGGCUCGGAAAAUCCACCACAUAAAGACAAAACCCCCUCUGUCCAAACCCAUCAUCGAUGUUCACUCCACCGACUCCUUACUGCUGGAGUCUCAUGUUCUGGACUCGGACCGGUUCUGCAUCAUCGGAGCCGACCUCAGAGACGUUCCCGGCCUGGACGAGAAGCUGAGGCGGUUCCAGCUGGACCCGGAGUUGCCCACGCUGCUGCUGUCAGAAUGCGUCCUGGUCUACAUGACCCCCUCCCAGUCAUCCAGCCUCGUCCACUGGGCCGCUCAGACGUUCCACACCGCCAUGUUCAUAAACUACGAACAGGUGAACAUGAGCGACCGCUUUGGUCAGGUGAUGAUCGAGAACCUGCAGAGGCGGCGCUGCGCGCUGGCCGGAGUGGAGCUGUGCCAGUCCCUGGACUCCCAGGUAAAACCAGUCGGCACAAAACCAGUCAGUAAGAACCAGUCAGUAGGAACCAGAACCAGUCGUCGAAAGCAGCCUGUCUGUGUGUCUGCAGAAGGAGCGUUUCCUGAGGGCCGGCUGGGAUCAGGCCAGCGCUCUGGACAUGAUGGCGGUCUACAGCGUCCUCCCUCAGGACGACGUGGCCAGAAUCGAGCGUUUGGAGUUCCUGGAUGAGAAGGAGCUUCUGCAGCAGCUGCUGCAGCACUACUGCAUCUGCUGGGCCACCAAGGACCGGCUCAACCUGGGUGAGACCCGCCACAGGCUGCAUGUCUGUCGCAGCUGGCCUUCUGAGGUUCAGAGGUCACGGUCGGGUUGCCAGAGGCAGCAGGGGAAGAGGACUCUCUGAUCACCUGGGAGCCGCGGGGUCAGAGGUCACACUGGAACCAGAUGCUGGAAAAAAUUAAACAGGAAUAUUUAAAAAUGUUUGACAGAAUCUGCUGGAAAUAAAGACUGACAGACGAGAAGA